AUUGAACGCUGGCGGCAUGCCUUACACAUGCAAGUCGAACGGCAGCAUAGGAGCUUGCUCCUGAUGGCGAGUGGCGAACGGGUGAGUAAUAUAUCGGAACGUGCCCUAGAGUGGGGGAUAACUAGUCGAAAGACUAGCUAAUACCGCAUACGAUCUACGGAUGAAAGUGGGGGAUCGCAAGACCUCAUGCUCCUGGAGCGGCCGAUAUCUGAUUAGCUAGUUGGUGGGGUAAAAGCCUACCAAGGCAACGAUCAGUAGCUGGUCUGAGAGGACGACCAGCCACACUAGGACUGAGACACGGCCCAGACUCCUACGGGAGGCAGCAGUGGGGAAUUUUGGACAAUGGGGGCAACCCUGAUCCAGCAAUGCCGCGUGAGUGAAGAAGGCCUUCGGGUUGUAAAGCUCUUUUGUCAGGGAAGAAACGGUAGUAGCGAAUAACUAUUACUAAUGACGGUACCUGAAGAAUAAGCACCGGCUAACUACGUGCCAGCCGCCGCCGUAAGAC
rnacentral:rRNA from 1 species